UACGGAGGGUGCAAGCGUUAUCCGGAUUCACUGGGUUUAAAGGGUGCGUAGGAGGACAGGUAAGUCAGUGGUGAAAUCUCCGAGCUUAACUUGGAAACUGCCGUUGAUACUAUCUGCCUUGAAUAUUGUGGAGGUGAGCGGAAUAUGUCAUGUAGCGGUGAAAUGCUUAGAUAUGUUACAGAACACCAAUUGUGAAGACAGCUAACUAAGCGAUGAUUGACGCUGAGGCACGAAAGCGUGGGGAGCAAACAGG
rnacentral:rRNA from 1 species